rnacentral:lncRNA from 1 species
GUGUCAUAUGUGGACAUGGGUAGUGUCAGGAAGCCGCAGUCCCUAUCAGUUAUGUAAACAUGAAAAAAAAAAAGCACUGAUAUUCUGAAACACGCUGUGUCACCAAACUAGGAUGCUUGGCAUGUGGGUUGCAUUAAACACAUUUCAACUUACAACAUUUUUACACUCUACAAUUGAUUUAUUGAUGUAUAACAUCAAAAGGUAUAUUGAAAUAUGUGUAUUCUUUUCAUCUUUAUUGCAGUUUUUAACUUAAUUUAGAAUUUUUUAUGAUAUGCUAAAAACAAGAACAACACAACAUUCUUUUAUUUAAUCCCUGUCCAUUUUUAUCACCUACUCUUUUCUGGACACACUACUCUGUGUAAAUGCUGGGCUCUCACUGGUACCAGAAGAGGUUAGAGCAAUCAUUUCUCACAGAGAUGAUCCUAUGUAGGCUCCCUGUUUACAGGAGUCACCACAGAGUAAUAAGAAGGAGGGGAAUUGAAAUUCAUAGCAGAAGCAAGCAGUAAAUUUAGUGAGACCCAGGAAGGGACUCCAAUACCACAUGUUGUGUCAAUGGAAUACUGAAGGUUACAUUAGGGGCAGUAAUCAAUGGGCGAGAUAGGGAAGGGCCAUCAUUGCAAAGAGAAGCACCAAGAGUUUGAAUGGGGGACCCCGUGCAGUGGGUUAUGAGCAUUCCAGGUCACUUGUCCUGGGACAGCAGUCAACUCUGAGGGGAAAUGGACUUUGGGCAGAGAAACAGGAAGGCAGAUGCUUAUAAGUUAUUUCUAUUUGCUUGUAAAUUAUUUCUGUUGGACUUUAGGGAGGUCUCAUUGCAAACAUGGCUGAAUCCGUCACAUUAAGACCAGAGAUUCUUUUCAAGAUACCCACCAUACUUCUGUAGUACUCAGGGUCAUCUGCUCAGCAUCCUUUAAGAUUUUCUAAUGUUCCCUACGUUUUGGACCUUCCAUGGAGUCUUGUCAUCCUCUACCACUAUCAUACACAAUCAUGGUCUUGCUGCUCUUUGUUCUUUGCUUGCAGUUUUGGGGUACCCUGGAAGCAAUGAGGUACACACGGAUAACACUUUCUUCACUGUACAAAAGUCACUUUUGGUAUCUGGAAGAGAAGGGAAGACUCUUUUCCUACAUCAAAAAACUAUAGCAGAUAGAUCACAGCAAACGAUGAUCUGUUAGGAAACAAAGACUCCACAUAACUGUUUCUUCACUUUUAAACUGAGAAUGCUAGGGAGUACCCUAAUCCAAUAUGACUUAGUAGAGGCAGAAGAGGAACCAAGCAAAUGCAUAUAUCAGGCAAAGGUCAUAGGAGAACACAGUACAAGCAGGAGUAAGUAGAAGAGGUUGUCUCAGUGGGGACUGAACCUGGUGCGCCAUGCGUGCUAGGCAAGGUCUCUACCACAGAGUUAUAGUCCCAGCCAUCUUUUGCUUUUCUUCUGAUACAGGGUUGAAUUAAGUUGUCCAGGCUGGCUUUGAACUCAUUCCACAACCUAGGCAGGCUUUCAAGUUCUGAUCUUCCUGCCUCAGUGUAUCAUGUAGCUUGGAUUACAGGUUUGUCAGCAUCUCAAGUAGCUAGGGUUACACAUUUCUACCAGGAGGAUGGGCUCCCAAGCCUGAUCUUACAAUAUUUAUGUUCCCCUUAUGCUUGCAUCCUUGAGAACUGAGGGGAAAACAUUGAGUUGUAUGAGUCCCCCAGUUUUAGUCAGUCUUUUAGUGGCAGCUAU